UUCACAUGAUUUUUAGUUGAGUGUUUGUUUUACGAUUAAUCUUUAGUUGAAGGGUUUAAUUACUAAAAACCUUAAAACCCCAUGAAACUGAUAUGCAAUGAUAUUUGUUCAAUGAAGGGAAAAAUAUGUUUCCCUAAAAACCACAUCUUCAGCUUGUUCCUUUAUAACUCUAAAGAAAAGAGAAGGAAAAAAUCUUCAGUUUUUUGUGCAUAAUUUUUAUAAAAUGAGUAGUAUUAUAAAUGGAGAAUCCAAAAUAUAUAUGUUUACAGGUAAUAAAUAUCAUCUCCGCAGCCACCAUUACCACUGCAACCGCUGUCGCCACCACCAUCAUGUUCACGUUCCACUGAUAUCGAUAGUUACGACUUAUGUGACAGUGGUUAGUGGUGACCUUGUUGAUAUUUGUGACACUGGCAGCGGCUAUUAUAUCAAUGGUGGUGGCAUAUAUAUAAAGCUGUCAAUUCGGACUUAAGUCAGCGGAUUGUAGUCCGGUCCGACAUGUAAAUAAGCUGUCUAAGACUGUAUUAUUUAUAUCAGCGGUUUAGCAGAUUAAGACCGCCACGAUUUGCGGUUUGUGAUGGAUUGAUAUAUGCAGUUUAUGGACUUUACCACGGUUUUAUAAAUUAAAGGAUUUUUAACGUAAAAACCCCUCAAUUAAGUUUCGUUUAAGUAAAAACCUCUAAAUUAAAGAUUCAACAGAAAAACCCCCCAACGUCAGCUCUCUUAAUGAAUUAGACCCUCUGUUACUUGUCCCGUUAAAGUCGAGCACUGCGUAUUGGGAUGGUCAUAAAACAGCACGAUUUGUUAAUAAAACAACAUGAUGUUUAAUUAGAUGCAUGUAGUUUACCAUUCCAACUUUAAUUCCUGUCGUAAAAAUUCCCGGAGUGUCGAGAGCUUAGAAUGAUGAACCCUAAUUCGUGAAAGGGAGGGGCUUUGAGUUUCGUUUGGUUCUUGUGAGAAUUCGAGACUGGGUUUGAGAGAGGGUGAGUUUGAGUUUGGUGAGAAAGUUGAAAUCAAGAAGGUUCCUGUGGGUUUGAAAUCGAAAAGUGAAAGAGUAUAUUCGGGAGCCGCUGGAAGACGGACAGUUUUUAAACAGAAGAAUUCAUAUUCAUUUAUAGAAUGCUUGAAACUAUGAUCACCGGUGGUGUUUUUCCAGAGAACAUGAAUAAGUUCUUUUAUUCCCCGUCUGGAAUUGUCGAUCAUAGUAGGAAGGAUAUAUGUUGUGAUACAGAUGUGGUGGAGAUGGUGAACGCCUCAAGUGAACUGGAAAGCAUAAAUCUUUUUGUUGUAAGAGCUGAUGAUCAGUUCUUAUUGGAGGAGAAGAAGAGGAAGAAGAACCUACGAGUGAUCAUUUGAAGUUUGAACCAUUUACAUUAAGUUAAAUUUGUUGCUUGUUGCUAUGUGUUUUAAAGCGUUAUGUUAUUAGUUUCUUCCAACGACAAGUGCAAAAAAUAGUUUUAAAUGUCAUGUUAUUAAACAA